rnacentral:rRNA from 1 species
CGGUCUGGUCUUAAGUAUAAGGCACUCUUAUACUGUGAAACUGCGAAUGGCUCAUUAAAUCAGUUAUCGUUUAUUUGAUAGUACCUUACUACAUGGAUACCUGUGGUAAUUCUAGAGCUAAUACAUGCUAAAAACCUCGACUUCGGAAGGGGUGUAUUUAUUAAAUAAAAAACCAAUGCCCUUCCGGGCUCCUUGGUGAUUCAUAAUAACUUAACCAAUCCCAUGGCCUUGCCCCGGCGAUGGUUCAUUCAAAUUUCUGCCCUAUCAACUUUCCAUGGUAGGAUAGUGGCCUACCAUGGUGGCAACGGGUAACGGGGAAUUAGGGUUCGAUUCCGGAAAGGGAACCUGAAAAACGGCUACCACAUCCAAGGAAGGCAGCAGGCGCCCAAAUUACCCAAUCCCGACACGGGGAGGUAGUGACAAUAAAUACUGAUACGGGGCUCUUUUGGGUCUCGUAAUUGGAAUGAAUACAAUUUAAAUCCCUUAACGAAGAACAAUUGGAGGGCAAGUCUGGUGCCCGCAACCGCGGUAAUUCCAGCUCCAAUAGCGUAUAUUAAAGUUGUUGCAGUUAAAAAGCUCCUAAUUGAACCUUGGGUCUGGCUGGCCGGGCCGCCUCACCGCCAAUACUGGUCCGGCUGGACCUUUCCUUCUGGGGAACCCCAUGGCCUUCACUGGCUGUGGGGGGAACCAGGACUUUUACUGUGAAAAAAUUAAAGUGUUCAAAGCAGGCCUUUGCUCCAAUACCUUAGCAUGGAAUAAUAAAAUAGGACGUGCGGUUCUAUUUUGUUGGUUUCCUAGGAACCCCGUAAUGAUUAAUAAGGAUUAGCGGGGGCGUCAUAUUCACUGUUCAAAGUGAAAUUUCUUGGAUUUGCCUGAAACAACUUCUGCGAAACCAUCCCCAAGGUUUU